UGAGACUCCUGCAACCGCUCCUUCCUACACAACAACAAAGUCUGUCCAGUCUACUCACAGCUCCUCUCUCCUGGAUGACUCUGGCCUCCCUCUCCAUCUCCUCGUGUCUGCGAAUGAGCUCUGUCCCGGACUUCCUCUAGCUCUCGAAUCAAGGCGUGGACUUCUAGCGCUGCCUCUAGCUUCCUCUUAUAGCUGCUCAGGUUUCCAUGGAAAUUACUCCAUCUGUUGGGAAGCCGGGCUGCCAGAGUGUUGAUUGUCUUGAUGUGAGCAUCAUCAACAGUCACGUCCUGAAAAUGAUGAAAACUACUUAGUGAAAGAAUGUUACUGCACAAAGCAAUAAGCUGCCAAUAUAAUAUAUACAAAGCCUACGAACACCAGACUUACUCCAGAACCUGAGCCUCUGAAUUCACUGAGCUUCUUGAGCAGUUGCUGACCAUGUUCAUAAUCCUCUCCAACAUCACCAACAUUUAUCAUCACCUCCUGCAUCAAAGAAACUGAGGAACUCAAGAAAAUCACGGUUAUCCUCAAGAACUUUUCCACGGGCGGCAACUGCUUGCUUCAGAGCCUCCCAAUGAGAGAUCAGCGCAGAAAUGGUCUGCUGUAUCUCCUUUGAUUUCAGAUGCCGCAUGGUCACCAGU